rnacentral:lncRNA from 1 species
UGUACAUGGGUUGGGCAAAUCCGGUCGACCCGGUCAAACCCACCCAACCCAACCCAAAAAAGUGGGUUGGGUCGGGCAAGUGGGUGGAUAUGGAUUUUAAAAAUGAAAAACCCAUUAAAAAAUCGGGUUUCGGGUAAAACCGGACCCAACCCAAAAAACCCACUAACCCACUAGUGCUAUGUUUCUUGAAAUUUUUUUAUGAAAAUACUAAAGAUUUUUUCAUUUGAUUAUUAAAUAUUU